UACGUAGGGUGCAAGCGUUGUCCGGAAUUAUUGGGCGUAAAGAGCUCGUAGGCGGUUUGUCGCGUCUGCCGUGAAAGUCCGGGGCUCAACUCCGGAUCUGCGGUGGGUACGGGCAGACUAGAGUGAUGUAGGGGAGACUGGAAUUCCUGGUGUAGCGGUGAAAUGCGCAGAUAUCAGGAGGAACACCUGCGGUGUAGACGGCUUACUGGACCGUAACUGACGCUGAGGCACGAAAGCGUGGGUAGCAAACAGG
rnacentral:rRNA from 1 species